rnacentral:rRNA from 1 species
UUGGAGGGCAAGUCUGGUGCCAGCAGCCGCGGUAAUUCCAGCUCCAAUAGCGUAUAUUAAAGUUGUUGCAGUUAAAAAGCUCGUAGUUGAAUUUCGGGAUCAACUUACUGGUCGUGCCUAUGGUACGCACUGGUUUUGUUGGUUUCUCCUUUCUGACGAAUCAUGAUGUCAUUAAUUUGAUGUCCUGAGGAAUCAGGACUGUUACUUUGAAAAAAUUAGAGUGUUUAAAGCAGGC